rnacentral:lncRNA from 1 species
CUCUGAGCCUGGUCACUGGGCCCUGACUCAACACCGGUACGUGUCAGGAGUCGUGCAGCGUCACAAGCCCUGCUGGAUGUGAACACGCUGUCCCGACAGUGUUGUUACCGGUUGUAAGACGCCUCUCCUACUGACUCCUCAUUCCUGCUGGCAACCUUUACUUCCAACUUACAAGCCUUUUAAACUGAGGACACAGCGCGUCCUGCUCCCUUGGCCUGGAGCGUGGACCAGGAGGAAGACUUGAGAAUGUGACAGAGCGCAUAGCGGCGGGGCUGUCCGUCUGAACAAAGCGAGAGUCCGGGAGGACAUACAGCGUCGGCGUCCUCGCUCGGAGGAGCAGCUGUGAACAAAGCGGCUGGGGCCCUGCCUG